AAGGUUACCUCCCCUAGGAUUUACUCUAUCUAGCUUCACUCACCAUAACCCAGGGUUACCUCCCUCUAGGAUUUUCUCCACCUGACUUCACUCACUAUGACCUAAGAUUACCAUCCCCUAGAGUUUUCUCUACUUGGGUUCACUCACUAAGAGUCAACAUUAGAUCGGCCCACCAGGGAUUCGAUAUCGGGUCCUCCAAACCUAUCAAAUCCACCUGACUUCCACGAUCUACCGAGAUUUCCCUUGCCUAGCUGCAACUAGGACUUCCCUUGCCUAACUAUAGUUUGGUUGACUUCUCACCCUUGCCUAGCCGCGACUAGAACUUUCCUUGAUCAUGCUUAUAAAAAUGUAUUUGUCAGACAUUAAAAUCUUAGAGGUUGAUUGCACCAACAACCACAUGGUCAUGUGGUCGCCCGAGCAGAGGAGAAACAAAGUCUGGUCGUGUGAUCCCACACAUGCUUGUAGCUUUCUAGAGACGAUGCAGACACCGGUCGUGUGAAUCCAUACAGUCGUGUGGCUUGACCAUAAGAGGAGAAGAACACAGCAAUGUGAUCCCACACGGCUAUGCCACUCGUCUAGAGAACAACCAAGACAUGACCGUGUGACUCCACACGGCUGUGUGACCUUAGCCAAGGCAAAGAGGACAUCGGCCGUGUGGAUGCCAAAAGGUCAUGGAAUGGGUCUUGUCAGGCCUGUACCCUGCACUAUAUAAGGGAUUUUCUUUCCCUUUCUAGGGGGAGGAAGGUUCUCCCUUUGGGAGUGCCAUCUUGGUACCAAUCUCCAUCUUCUCCGAUCUCCGUUCUAUGAUCCAAAGUUGUAUCCAUCACCUCAUCAACUCUGGAAGCCUAGGAUUGGAUCCAAAGAUUACUCUAUGACAUUGGAUAAGAAUCUCUUCCCUCUUCUCUCUUGUUGAGUUUGAAUGCUUAUAAUUCAUAUGUCUUUAGAUCUCUUUCUUCUUACUACAGAGUAGAUCCUUUAUUCUAGCAUUAAGGGAGUAAUUAUGGUGUGGUUUGAUGUAAUAACUCAUGGAUAUGCCAAUUUCAUAUCUAGAUGACAUUAUCAUGCUUUUGUAUCUAUUUGAUCUUAUGUGAAUGCAUGUAUUUGAACUUAAUUCUCAUGUUUGAUUGAAUGGUUGUGUAGAGUUGUUGUUCCUAUAGGGGAAUGCUAUCAUAUGACCAAGGGGCCCUAGUGACAGGAUAACCCGUUAAUAGACGUCUAAGGUAUCACCUUGAAAGGAAAGACAAUUCUCCACUUGGAAGUAGAUAGUUGUGUGUGUAACUGUCAUCCUCAUCUUUGUGGUUAUUGAGUAUGAGUGUGUUCUUAUGUUAUAUGACCAAGGCGCCCUAGCGACAGGGGUAACCCGUUAACGGAAUUCAUAGGAAUCAUUCUUGUUUAAUGGCAAAAGAUGUUGAUUUAAAUAUCUAGUCGGCUUGUCCACUGUAGGGAAGAGUUGACAACUUCCUAUAAGUGCAUGUGAAUUGAGGAUCACUACAAGAAAAAUCCUCAUAGACAUCAGUAGAACAGCAAUGGUUUUAAGCAAAAAUCGAUGUCUUUGAGUAGUUUACACCGAUUUUUCCAAAAAUCGGUGUCUAUGAGCGCAGAUUUUCGCUCAUAGACAUCGAUUUUUUUAGCCAAUGUCGAUGAGCGCCUUUUUUUUUCAUUAAUAGAUAUUGAUUUUAACCGUGGUUUUUAAAACUCGGUGUCUAUACAUCAAAAUUCUGGCGGACUUUCUUAGUGCGCUUUUUUUUGGGCUUCUCCUCGCCCACCAUAAAUUGAAACCCUAAUCCUCCGCAUCCUCCUUUUAGGAGUUACCAUUUGAAAGACGAGCAAUGGAUCUCUUAACGGCGAUGUGGAUGGCGACGGUGAACUUAUUCCCUUUUCUUUGGCUUGGAGGAAGCCAGCUUCUUGAUGGCGCGGGGUAGAACAGUGGACGACAAGAAAGAGCAUUCGAUCCCAACUUUCCUUCCCUGGCACAAGAAUUGCAUUAUUCCUCCACCAAAUCCCCCAACUAGCAAGGAACAAAAGGUGCGGGGGAAAGAGGGAAAGGGCGAAUAGGGGUUAGCCUCUUUCUUUCUUUUUAUCUUUCAUUUGAUCGAUAUCAUUAACAAGACUGCUGGCGUUGCUUGGAAGGAUCUUUACUGGUAUUGAUAUUUUAGUUUAACAUUUCCUCCAUUUUUUUUGUUUUUGACUCUGUGGUUUGAUAAUUAUAGCAAUGCGUUUACUCUUGCGAUUUUAGUGUCUUCUUAAUUCUUUUUUUUUCUUAUUGAUGCUAUGGUUCUUGAUGCGAAGGGGUAGGAAUUUAGAGCGGAAGAUGGCAUUCGUCGAUGUGAUGUUGGGGCUGUGCGGGUUCGGCCUGGGGUUGUCGAUGGGAAUUGUCAUUGGAUAUUGCUUCUUCAUCUACUUCCAACACUCUAAUGUCAAGCUGUUCUACGAGUCCUUUGACGAGUCGUUUGAGGGGCGGUGGAUCGUUUCCGACAAGGUGGACUACCAAGGAAGGUAACUAGAUUGGUGAAUGAGGAUCCGCCCUGUCCUGCAAUGAACAUAAUCUGUAAAUCUUCCUGUAACAAAUAUUAGAUAUUAUCUAAAUUUGACAUUUACGUGUGGCAACUUAACAGAAUAUGCGGGAAUAAUUUUUUUGAGCAGAUGAAUAUACUUGGCUUUAAUUAGCAUAAAGUCAAAAAGAUUGAUGUGGCAAAGAUAGAAAUAUUAAGAUGGAUGCAUGGAGUUACUAGAAGGAAUAAAGUAGACAAUAUUUGUAUUUUAGAGCAAUUAUCUAUAGCUUCAAUACUAAUAAAAUUUGAGAGAGAAUAAAUUGAGAUGAUAUGGACACACUUAAAGAUUACUAAUAAGUUCUAUGCUUAGUAGAGUUGAAUUGUUAGUGUAAGAUAUCAUAGGUCG